GGCAGCACAAGACCUUCUGGGGGCACUCCACCGGAAAAGGGAAGAAAGCCUCAGAUAACAUUCCUAAGAUUCAGAGAUGGGACUAACUUAUUCAAGACCAUACAACUAGGCUAUGUAAGAACUACAACUUAUAUCAAGAGCUUUUGACUAUGAGUACAGGAAGCUUUCCAGUAACCCAUCAACCACUGAGCUGCAUGGUAUCUGAAAAUCAUUUUGGAGCCUAUUUAUCUGCUCAACAGAAGUGUUGCAGAGUUGCCAUCACUUGAUGUCUUAAUUUGGAUUAUGCCUUCAGGGAACCAGCUUUUGAAAUAUCUGGACCAGACAAGUAACAAAUUUCCCCACCAUGGUGGGAAGAUUCUUUGAAUGGAGUUUCAACAACUUCUGAAAAGCAAGCAGUUGUGUCACUGAAGAGAACAAGCAGACCACUGUAGCAAGGAGAGCCCCAAUAUUCUUUCCAUUCCUCAAGAGGAGGUUUCUGCCAAUCAGGUUUUCAUUACUUCAGCAGCGACACUGUAUUGAAGUGGUGUCAAAGUUCAAUUUUUAUAAGACCAAAGUUUGAGAUUAAUAAUGUGAGGGAAAUUUAUGUAU